AACAAACGCUGGCGGCGUGCAUAACACAUGCAAGUCUAACGGGAAUGUUGGCUUCGGCUGACUAGUACCGUGGCGAACGGGUGAGUAACACGUGGGUAAUCUAACCUCGAGUUUGGGAUAACCUUGCGAAAGCGGGGCUAAUACCGAAUAAGACCACGCUUGGUUUGCCAAGUGCGGUAAAAGGUGGCCUCUUCAUGAAAGCUAUCACUUGAGGAUGAGCCCGCGGCCUAUUAGCUAGUUGGUGGGGUAAUGGCCCACCAAGGCGACGAUGGGUAGCCGGCCUGAGAGGGGGUACGGCCACAGUGGCACUGAGAUACGGGCCAGACUCCUACGGGAGGUAGCAGUGGGGAAUUUUGCGCAAUGGGGGAAACCCUGACGCAGCAACGCCGCGUGAGUGAUGAAGGCCUUCGGGUCGUAAAGCUCUUUUAGUGGGGAAGAAGCCCCGCAGGACUAAUACUUCUGCGGUCUGACGGUACCCACAGAAAAAGUUCCGGCUAACUACGUGCCAGCCGCCGCCGUAAUAC
rnacentral:rRNA from 1 species